rnacentral:rRNA from 1 species
GACGAACGCUGGCGGCGUGCUUAACACAUGCAAGUCGAACGGAAAGGCCCUGCUUUUGUGGGGUGCUCGAGUGGCGAACGGGUGAGUAACACGUGAGUAACCUGCCCUUGACUUUGGGAUAACUUCAGGAAACUGGGGCUAAUACCGGAUAGGAGCUCCUGCUGCAUGGUGGGGGUUGGAAAGUUUCGGCGGUUGGGGAUGGACUCGCGGCUUAUCAGCUUGUUGGUGGGGUAGUGGCUUACCAAGGCUUUGACGGGUAGCCGGCCUGAGGGGGUGACCGGCCACAUUGGGACUGAGAUACGGCCCAGACUCCUACGGGAGGCAGCAGUGGGGAAUAUUGCACAAUGGGCGGAAGCCUGAUGCAGCAACGCCGCGGGCGGGAUGACGGCCUUCGGGUUGUAAACCGCUUUCGCCUGUGACGAAGCGUGAGUGACGGUAAUGGGUAAAGAAGCACCGGCUAACUACGUG